rnacentral:rRNA from 1 species
UACGGAGGGUGCAAGCGUUAUCCGGAUUUACUGGGUUUAAAGGGUGCGUAGGUGGGUUGGUAAGUCAGCGGUGAAAUCUUCGAGCUUAACUCGGAAACUGCCAUUGAUACUAUCAGCCUUGAAUAUCCUGGAGGUGAGCGGAAUAUGUCAUGUAGCGGUGAAAUGCUUAGAUAUGACAUAGAACACCAAUUGCGAAGGCAGCUCACUACGGGAUUAUUGACACUGAGGCACGAAAGCGUGGGGAUCAAACAGG